rnacentral:rRNA from 1 species
UACGUAGGGGGCAAGCGUUGUCCGGAUUUAUUGGGCGUAAAGAGCGUGUAGGCGGCCAGACAGGUCAGCUGUGAAACUCGAGGCUCAACCUCGAGACGUCGGUUGAAACCGUCUGGCUAGAGUCCGGAAGAGGAGAGUGGAAUUCCCGGUGUAGCGGUGAAAUGCGCAGAUAUCGGGAAGAACACCCGUGGCGAAGGCGGCUCUCUGGGACGGUACUGACGCUGAGACGCGAAAGCGUGGGGAGCGAACGAGG